AAGAUCUCAUCAAAAUUCAUUCAAGUUCCAAACAUUAAAAAAUCACAUAAUACAAGUUCAAUACUAUUACAUCCUUUGACACUAUUACAUUACAUCAACAGAAAGGAUUACAAAUUUCACAAAAAUACUUUCCUAAACUUAUACCGUACAUCUUUAAUCGUCAUGCUAUUUUAUCUUCAACCCUUGCUCACUUCUCAAACUUCUAGCAAUGCACAUGCUCUAGGCAUUCUCUUCUCAUUCCCUUUGCCAAUA